GGCGCGGGAAUCUUGUUCAUUUGUUUAAUUCUGUAAUAAUAAGUAACAACACAGACGAGCCCUCCCGAAUCCCUCUUGUCUAGAAAAUUACAUGGUCUGUCAGUAAGCUUUAUACACGGUUCUGUUUGUAUUUCAAAGACGUGGCUACAAUCCAAUCUGAAGGGCAGAGUUCUUGGUCAUACUUUUCACGGAUAAUACGAUCAACCAUUCUACCAACGGGAACCACUAAUGAGCAAAACAACAACCAAUAGAAUUAGGUCUCGAUGUUUCUUUACAAUAAGAGCACAUUCUACACUCAACCAUUUGUUUUGACUUAUUUGUAAAUAAAGAACAAAUGGAUAAUCGUUAUCUUAACCAUUUUUGGUGGGAAUUUGUUAGAUCCAGUCUCUCCAAUCUUCUCUUGACGAUAAGAGACGCCACUCCGUUGUUAUCACCGUUUAUUAAAGAUCUUAUUCUACUAUUAGAGAGUGCUAACACUGCUAUGAAGAAGGGUGUUGAAGAAUGAAAUUGGCUAACUCCGUAUCUCCCCAAGAUAGGUAUUGAUCAACAGAAGUUAGACUUCCUUCCCUUAAAAAUUCGUCCCAACUUCUCAACCUUGGAUUGAAGUUAAGAGGUUCGUUAGAGCCUGUAUGUAUAAUGUCAUUCAUAAUGGAUUCCCGAGACCUACCCAAUUGUCUCUAGUAUUUAUCACAUUUUUUCAUCACCCCAAAUAGGUCCGAUCAUACCAUGAAUAAUCUAUCAGUCAAAUCAUGACCAAUUCUUUUCUCGAACUCACCCUUGAUCUUUAAUGCUCAUUAAUCACUGUUUUUCCUCAAUCUUGUAAAUCAAGAGAAGUUUAGCACUUUCCAAGGAGCCUAUGUAUUUGGAGAUCCGAGGCCCCAUUCUUCGAUUUGCGUAUUUAUGCGUCCUGUAGAAAGGUAAGUUCU
rnacentral:lncRNA from 1 species